GGGAUGAUGGCUGAGUGGUUUAAAGCGCCAAUUUUGAAAAUUGUUAUAAGUAUUACUUAUCAUAGGUUCGAAUCCUAUUCCUCCCG
rnacentral:tRNA from 1 species